UACGGAAGGGGCAAGCGUUGUUCGGAAUCACUGGGCGUAAAGCGCGUGUAGGCGGCUUUGCAAGUCGGGUGUGAAAGCCCUCAGCUCAACUGAGGAAGUGCGCCCGAAACUGCAGAGCUUGAGUACCGGAGAGGAUGGCGGAAUUCCCCAAGUAGAGGUGAAAUUCGUAGAUAUGGGGAGGAACACCGGUGGCGAAGGCGGCCAUCUGGACGGAUACUGACGCUGAGACGCGAAAGCGUGGGUAGCAAACAGG
rnacentral:rRNA from 1 species